UACGGGGGGGGCAAGCGUUGUUCGGAAUUACUGGGCGUAAAGCGUGCGUAGACGGUUAUUUAAGUCGGGUGUGAAAGCCCCGGGCUCAACCUGGGAAUUGCAUUCGAGACUGAGUAGCUAGGGUACGGUAGAGGGAAGUGGAAUUUCCGGUGUAGCGGUGAAAUGCGUAGAUAUCGGAAGGAACAUCAGUGGCGAAAGCGACUUCCUGGGCCAGUACCGACGUUCAGGCACGAAAGCGUGGGGAGCAAACAGG
rnacentral:rRNA from 1 species